rnacentral:rRNA from 1 species
UAAACUACGAUUAGAUACCCUAUUAUUCUAAUCGUUAAAUAAAAGCCAGAGUAGUAAUAGAUAUGUUCUUGAAACUCAAAGAAUUUGGCGGUGUUUUAGUCCAAUCAGAGGAGCCUGUUCCGUAAUCGAUAAUCCACGUUAAACUCAACUUAGGUUGGUAAUCAGUUUGUAUACCGCCGUCAGAAGAGUGUCUCAAGAGAAGAUACUCAGGAUUCUUUAAUAAGAAAUAUGUCAGGUCAAGGUGCAACUUAUGCCUAAGAGGAAAUGGGCUACAUUAAUGUUAAUUAAACGGAUUAGAGUUUGAAAUAGCUUUAUGAAGGUGGAUUUGGGUGUAAUGAAAAUAAGCUAAAGAUUGUGAUAGGGGCUCUAAAACAUGUACACAU